GCCGGGGUGGCGGAAUUGGUAGACGCACCGGACUCAAAAUCCGGCGUCGGAGACGACGUGCGGGUUCGAGACCCGCCCCCGGCA
rnacentral:tRNA from 1 species